CUGAUGCUUACCCUGAUUCAUUCUUCUUUUGUGAGGAAAAUUGGGAGCAUCGAAACAUGAGCGAUGCUGUUGAAUCUAUGAUGCGGAUCCUGCUUCCUGCGUUCUUUUUGCUGCCCAUACCCGAUUGAUUGUGCUUCGUGAGCUGCUCCAUUUUGCAACAGCUGCUGAAAUCUUCCCUCUAGCAGGCUUCCCUUCCUUGCUGUCUUCAAGGAGGAAUUGGAUUAUUGCUGCCCUCUCAAAUGUGGAGAGAUCUUUUCUCCUAGCCAUAGUGUAGUUUUUGUGGUUUUUUUGGUUUUGAGUUGUUGUAGCAGCUGCUUAGUUUAGUCUUUGUAAACUGAAUUGGUCUCUAUUUAUAGAGGGGAGAAACCUUGUAAAGUGUGGGAAAUUUAAAAUUCUCAAAUUUUCAAUGAAAAGGCAAAUUGGAAUUGGUUUC